CGCUGGGCUCCUCGCACUCCAGGGGAGAAGGGACACAAUGGAGCCUCAGAGCCAUAGCAGUCUUGUGCAGAACACACAAGUAUGGGUGUCUGCUGGAUGAUCCUAAGUCCUAUCUCCUUUGCCCGGCUGAGCUGUCUGAGGGCAAGGGAGAGGCCCUGGAGCUGGCCUCGGAAAUGCAGAGCUCAGAGCAGGGUGGUGGUGGCUGCACACACGCCUUUGAUCCCAGCACUCAAGAGGUGGAGGCAAGCAGAUCUCUGAGUUUGGGGCCAGCCUGGUCUACAGACUCAUGAUGGCCAGGCAUUGGAGUAGCCAUGCUUUUUCGAGCUGUGGUGGUCGGACACCAUGCAGAAGAGGAGCAGCAGAGGGCCAGAGGCGGAAAGCAUCUUGUCUGAGGCCUGUCCUAUGACACUUCGGUAGCAGGUCAGGUCUGGGUCAGCAUCCUUCCAUCACAGCCCCAUGCAUCUCUUUAUAUCGUGCUGAAGAAGAAGGAAGUGUCUGUCACUGAAUUCACCCAUGAGAACUUGGGAGUAUCUGAUGGGAGAAGGCCCCUUCCUGCCAGCCCUGCCUGCCAAUGCUGCUCACUGGGCCAGGCAGUGUCAGCAACUGCCAGGAGCACACAGUGUUGGCUGGCUGGCAAGAGGCCUCGCCAAUCCCGCCACCUCUACCCUUCCUUGCUUGCCUUGGAUGGCUCUCAGGACAUCCUGACAAGCCUAGGCCACCCUCUUUGCUCUGUUGGCUGUUGCUGCAUAUGCCUGGGUGAGGAUUUACCGUGUUGUGCCCUCCCCCGCAAUGGAAGCCAGUAUCAAGUUAAUGGAAUACAUCUUGCCCCUGGACCAAAGACCCCAGGACCUUAGGAGCCUGCAGCCCACCUCACUCAUCAACCCCGGGACAGAGGUGAAACAAGCAGUAUGGAGCUGGGAUCACUGUGGCAGUGGUUAAGACAAAGUGACACAGAUGAUGCCCAGGUUGAGGGUGAGGCUGGCUGUCGCACAGGGAUGAACAAGUCUAGGGGCUUGUACUAGCCUGUACAUCCCACCUAUGGCCUCCUCAGCAGAUGUGUUUAGGCUCUGAUCAUGCCUCCCUCCGGCUGUGCAGGAUUCCCCUGGAUUCCUUAACCCUCACGGCUUCCUCAGGCAGCUAGGGGAGGACCCAGGCAUCGAAGACCUCAAAGCAAAUCGGCUAAGCUGGAGGGUGACUACUUCAUGGCUGCUCGCCCAGCCAUCCUCACAGGGUACUUGGAUGUCAAGUAAGCGGGUAUGAAAGCAAGCAUGCCUCAGCAGAGGUGUUUGCAGCCCACAGGGUUUCCUCGAGCUCACCUCCGCGCUCGCACUGACUGACGCUUACUUGGAUUUCCCAAGGUCACACCGUCAACACUAUUGGUCCAAGCCACAGUAAAAGAAAGGAACUGGAGGUAGAAGCAGACAGCAUUCGAUGGGACUUCUGCUCUCUGAAGAAUGGGUUCGCAUGAGUACAGCUUCAGAAGAAACCAGAUGCAGGUGACCGUGUGCUUAAUGGGGUGCAAAGGACUAUGGAGCUAAGCAAACCAUGAGAUGGGGAUGAAAAGGCAAAUCCUCCACGGAAAGAGCCAGGAAAGUUCUCAACAGCCUGUUUGUUCUCGUCUCUGCUCAAACCUUGAGUUACAUAUUCACAGGGAAUGCCACUAAGCUGUUGAAAAAAAAGAUCUGAGCCUAUUCUAGUGUCUCCCGCAUCAGACACAGGGGUUGCAGUAUGAAUCCAACCAAGAUAAUUGAUUGAUUAAAGAAACAAUACCAGCCAGCUGUGCUAGCACGCACCUUUAACCCUGCGCUCAGGAGGCAGAGAUAAAAGCCAGAUCUUUGUGAGUUAGAGGACAGCCUGGUCUAUACAGCAACAGCAUGCAUCCCGCUGAAGAAGCAUCCUCCCUACCCCCCCCCCCCGGAAAAAAAAAAGAAGCACGUACUGGAGAAAAAUAGCAAAAUCCAGAAACUACCCAACUUAAUGUGUACAAUGUCCAGAUUGCAAUCCAAAAGCAUUUACUAUGAAAAGAACCAAGAAAGGAGAAUGCAUUCCCAAGACAACAGAGCAUCAGGUGAGACAGCAAAAAACAAUCCAGAUAUAAUUAGCAAACAGGUAAUUUCUAGAAUGGAUUGUAAUUAUACUGAAGGUAAAAGAAAACAUGGGAAAUUAUUAGACAGGACUGGAAAAUGAAAAUGGUGAAAACUGAAAUCCCAAAACUAAAAAUACAAUAUAAGGAAAGAAAAAAAAAAAGAAAGGGAGAGAAGAUCACUCUCUCAUCCUGUAACAACAGGAUGGAGUUGACAGAGGAAAGAGAAAAUGGACUUAAAUAUGAAACAAAGAUAUUAUCCAGUGUAAAGAACAAAGGAACAACCGUGGCUGCCGAGAUGGCUCCGAAGAGCACUUAAGCCACUGGUUCUUCUACUUCUCCUCCAGAGUGCCGGGGUCACAGGUGUGCACCCCCACAACACAUCCAGCUUGUCUUGCACAAACUUUUCAAAAAGGAUGGAGGCAGGAGCAUUUCCUAAUUCAUUUUAGGAGGUUAGCAUUACCCCGAUACCAAAAACAGACAGAGAUCACAAGCAUGCACAGAAAAUCAAAAUUUUCCAUGGAGAGAAGACGUCAGUGGUUACGAGCAGUAGCUGCUCCAAGGGAGGACCCAAGUUCAAUUCUCAGCACCCUCAAGGUCCCUAGCAGCCAUAGAUAACUCCAAUUCCUGGGGACCUAAUGCCCUCUUCUGGCCACUUCUGGCACUGCAUGCAUGCAGUGCACAGACACACCUGCAGGCAAGCAUUCAAGCACGUGAAAUAAUAAUAAACAAAUCUUUUUUAAAAAAUCAGAAUUCUAGAAAAUAAAAUCUAACAAGAUAUCACUAUUUAAAAAGGCAAUACAGCGUGACUAUGUAUCUUUAACCCGGGAAUACAUGACUGCAGUUCAUCAUAUUAAUAAAGAGGAAAA